UACGAAGGGUGCAAGCGUUAAUCGGAAUUACUGGGCGUAAAGCGCGUGUAGGUGGUUCAGUAAGUUGGAAGUGAAAUCCCCGGGCUCAACCUGGGAACUGCUUUCAAAACUGCUGAGCUAGAGUACGGUAGAGGGUGGUGGAAUUUCCUGUGUAGCGGUGAAAUGCGUAGAUAUAGGAAGGAACACCAGUGGCGAAGGCGACCACCUGGACUGAUACUGACACUGAGGUGCGAAAGCGUGGGGAGCAAACAGG
rnacentral:rRNA from 1 species